rnacentral:ncRNA from 1 species
GUAAUCCUGCACAGUAUGAGAGGAAUUGCAGGUUCAAAGCUACCAUCUCUGGGAUUCUGACUGAAUGCCUCUAAGUCAGAAUCCCCCC